UACAGAGGUCUCAAGCGUUUGUUCGGAUUCAUUGGGCGUAAAGGGUGUGUAGGUGGCGCGCUAAGUCGGGUGUGAAAUUUCGGAGCUUAACUCCGAAACUGCAUUCGAUACUGGCGUGCUUGAGGACUGGAGAGGAGACUGGAAUUCAUGGUGUAGCAGUGAAAUGCGUAGAGAUCAUGAGGAAGACCAGUGGCGAAGGCGGGUCUCUGGGCAACAACUGACGCUGAGGAGCGAAAGCGUGGGGAGCGAACAGG
rnacentral:rRNA from 1 species